ACUCUCAGAAUCGGCGAAUGUCCCCAUUCAAUUGGAAGAGUCUUCAUGUUGUGACGUAGAUUCAUUGAUGUGCAGAGCAUGUAAUUUGAGUUUAGGGUGGCCAUUUAGGUUUCCUGCUGCGGAUUCAGGCUUUCGUGCUUGGUAUGUUACAAUCCAAGUGUGGAAUGACGGUCAUUUGACUCGUGGUCGUCUUUUCGUUGAGAAUUGUGAAUGGUUUUAGAUUUGAGUCUUGCAAUGGAAAACGUGAACAAUAGAAACGUAGAGAAUUGUGUUGUUUUUGAGAAUUGAUGAGAAGGCCGUUCAGUAUUUUGGGGUUGUGAUAUAAAGAUAGGAAAACGUCCAUUGCCUUGUAGAGGGAGGCAUUCAGCAUAUUCUGCAGACUUUCCAGUUUGAUGCCAGGAAUACACCGAAGCUGUUCCUGCAAUCGCACAAAAUCCAACCAGUGAGCCCCUGUAUUUUCUGGAGUAAACAAAGCUCGGAACUCCGGUUUUUGCGGAGGAUUCCAACAGGGAUGAACCGAAUUUCCCCUUUGAAUCUCUUCGAAAGCUUUCUCCAAUUGUAGCACCCGAAGGUACGAUAUUCGAGCUGUAGAAUGAGGCCGACGAUUAUCUUCUGUUUUCUUUUUCUUUUUCUUUUAACCCAAGAAGAAAAUACUAGAGACCCCUUGUCGGUGCAGUUCACAUCGACAAGUGCUUGCUAGACUUCCUCAGAACUCGGUGUUGACGAUUCUUACUGUGCACAGGACGACCUUUGACAGUGCACACUGUGGUGAAGGAACCUUAAAUGGACAGGGGAGCUAAAGGAUUGUCAAUAAUGAAGAGAACCCACUAUCAGAGUGCUGGAAAUAAGUGCCUAUAUGAAGACUAGCAGGACCAUGAGCUAGUACUGAAACAAACUUCAAAAGACGGAGACAAGUUAUCCAAGAGUGAAGGAAUCCAAAAAUUGCGAUGAGUUUUUCGACUCUACGAGAGUCGUGAACGAUGAUGAGAAUCUCCAAAACCUGCCCAACAGAGGAUAAGUAAUUUAGUCCCAACUUCUCGUACACAAACAAAUGCCUGCACACCCAAGUAAUAAAAAUUGAAUUUAAACCAAUUUGAAAAUAUAGAUUCGGUUCCAAGGUUUAUGGCCAACAGUAACAUCUGACAACAGCAAAUAAAAAAUCAUCACAGCAUUAACCAAAGUGAACACAACAAAAAGAACACGGGACAAAUAUGGCGCAACAAGAGCUUCUAUACUUUCUGAAAAAACUAAGCAACGAGUCCCAAGUUUUGCGCUUUCGCAAACCCAACUUCACUAAAGCUAGGGGCUAGUAAAGACCUUGAUCCUAGGCUGCGUGCGCAAUAGCCCAUGUAAACUGGUUAAAACAUGAAGGAACCAAAAACAAUGUAAAGUGCCACACAAAGUUCAGUUUAGACCCAGGAAAGAAGGAUCUCCCUGGGAGAAACACCAUAGGCACCAAAAUCCUGAACUCAAGCUUAAGCUUGGGUCGGCAUCUUGAGUUGAACAAUAGAGCAUCGGCGACUUGAACAAACAUCGGAUACGCACGAGAGUGAAGUAACUUCAGAAAAACACUGCUAUGUGCACUUUGAGGAGCAGCUCACGCACUCAGCGGACAAUUCUCCGUAGGAAA
rnacentral:lncRNA from 1 species